UCUUGACAAGGCUCAGAGAAAGGUUUUGUGUGAGUGGGUCAAACAGCUGCGGUUUCCUGAUGGUUACGCUUCCAAUUUGAGUCGAUGCGUUGAUUUGCAAUCAGGUAAGUUACAUGGAAGGAAAAGUCAUGAUUGUCACGUGUUCAUGGAGAGGUUGUUGCCCACUGCUUUGAGAGAAUUGCUCCCUACCCAUAUAUGGAAUGCAAUUACAGAGAUAAGCCAAUUAUUUCGCGAUUUAUGUUGCUACACAAUUACAGUUAGCGACAUGGAGUGAUUGGAAAAAAAAAAUAGCUGAGAUCCUGUGCAAGCUUGAGAAGGUUUCCCCCCCCCAUCUUUCUUCAACUCCAUGGAGCAUUUACCAAUUCAUUUGCCAUAUGAGGGCAAGUUAUGUGGACCUGUUCAAUAUCGAUGGAUGUAUCCUUUCGAAAGGUAAAUCAAAGGUCCUUUCUCAACUCUUACUUUCAUCUCUUUCAUUGAUUUCCGUUACUUAUACUUCUACGGCUACAUAAACAUAAUUACAGGUUCCUCAAUCACCUGAAACGAAAAAUUGGUAAUAAGGCUCGUGUUGAAGGUUCCAUAUGCAACGCUUAUCUCACUGAAGAGAUAUCAAACUUCUGCUCCAAUUACUUUCAGCCCUCAGUUGACACAAAAACACGAGAUCUAGGUCGAAAUGUGAAUGCUGAUGUGGAAUCCCCGGCUGACAACGAUGAAAUCCCAGAGCUGUUCACGGUGGAUAAGGGUCGUGUGUCAAAUUUGGGUAAAACUCGGUAUUUAGAUGACAAGGAACUCGAACGUGCUCAUUUGUUCGUUUUAAGAAAUACCGGCAUUCUUGGUGAAUACGAAAGGCAGUUUGAGGACUACAUUCUUAGUACUCGAACUUAUUUGCGUCGAGAAGAUGUCAUGGAGAAAUGCGAAAGUGAAUUCCCUGAUUGGUUUCAUCACAAGGUGAGAGAACAAAAACCAAGUUCCGAUGUGUUGCGAGCAUUGUCUAUGAGGCCUUUCAAGCGUGUUCGAACUUGGAA